UGGCUCAGAACGAACGCUGGCGGCGCGUCUUAAGCAUGCAAGUCGAACGGCAAGAGGUAGCAAUACCUCCUAGAGUGGCGGACUGGUGAGUAACACGUGGGUGACAUACCCUUCAGAUGGGGAUAGCUAUUAGAAAUAGUAGAUAAUACCGAAUACGAGCACAGGGGUUAGAGAUCUGUGAGGAAAGGAGCUAAGGCUCCGCUGAAGGAAUGGCCUGCGGCCCAUUAGCUAGUUGGUGAGGUAAGAGCCCACCAAGGCGAUGAUGGGUAUCCGGCCUUAGAGGGUGAACGGACACAUUGGGACUGAGAUACGGCCCAGACUCCUACGGGAGGCAGCAGCUAAGAAUAUUCCGCAAUGGACGAAAGUCUGACGGAGCGACGCCGCCGUGGAUGAAGAAGGCCGGAAGGUUGUAAAAUCCUUUUGAAACUGAAGAAUAAGCGUUGUAGGGAAUGACAGCGUGGUGACAGUAGGUUUUGAACAAGCAACGGCUAAUUACGUGCCAGCCGCCGC
rnacentral:rRNA from 1 species